rnacentral:rRNA from 1 species
ACCCNUGNNGUCGNNCGGAGUUAUUAUGACUGAAUCUUCGGAGGACGACAUAAUAACUUAGUGGCGAACGGGUGAGUAACGCGUGAGUAACCAACCUUACACAGGGGGACAACAUUUGGAAACGAAUGCUAAUACCGCAUGAGACUACAGGAUCGCAUGAUCUAGGAGUCAAAGAUUUCAUCGGUGUAAGACGGACUCGCGUUCUAUUAGAUAGUUGGUAGGGUAAAAGCCUACCAAGUCAACGAUAGAUAGCCGAGCUGAGAGGCUGAUCGGCCACACUGGGACUGAGAUACGGCCCAGACUCCCACGGGAGGCAGCAGGGAAGAAUAUUAGUCAAUGGGGGAAACCCUGAACUAGCAACGCCGCGUGAAGGAUGAAGGUCUUCGGAUUGUAAACUUCUGUGACAGGGGAAGAAGAAAGUGACGGUACCCUGAGAGGAAGCUCCGGCAAACUACGUGCCAGCAGCCGCGGUAAUACGUAGGGAGCGAGCGUUGUCCGGAAUUACUGGGCGUAAAGGGCGCGUAGGCGGCAAUAUAAGUCGUCUGUGAAAUACCCAGGCUUAACCCGGGGGGUGCAGGCGAAACUAUAUAGCUUGAGUAUGGUAGAGGAGAAUGGAAUUCCUAGUGUAGCGGUAGAAUGCGUAGAUAUUAGGAGGAACACCGGUGGCGAANGCGGUUCUCUGGGCCAAAACUGACGCUGANGCGCGAAAGCGUGGGGAGCAAACAGGAUUAGAUACCCUGGUAGUCCACGCCGUAAACNAUGANUACUAGGUGUNNGAGGNAUCGACCCCUUCUGUGCCGCAGUUAACACAAUAAGUAAUCCGCCUGGGGANUACGACCGC